UGGACAGAUUAUUGUAUUCGACUGUAUUCACGGCGUAAAAUAGGGGAAUUACACUAUUUUUAAAACGAAAAGUGAAUCAAUUAACAUAUAGGCUACU
rnacentral:pre_miRNA from 1 species